AAAAACAAAUAAUUACAUUGAACAAUAUCAUGAUACAACACAUUCCUUUGCUGCCUGAAAUGAGGGGGAGGCUGAAAAUUUUAGUUAUCCUCAAGUGAUAUACAGCACCAUAUGAAUACAUUUUGCCAAAACUGAAGAUGUAGCAUUAAUUGCUGCCGGCUACUAUACAAUAUAGAAAGGAAGAAUGAAUGGCCAAAACCAGCUAAGUCGUGUACAUAACUCACUAGAAGGCAAGCAAAAGGGGAAGAGCAGAAAAAAGUAAAAAGAAAAACUCGCCUUUGCUUGCAGCAGUUGGAAGAGCUAUCACAACAUUAUAGACACAGGUCAAACUACAAUCCAGCAGGAAAAUUGUUGAUUUGCCCUUGCUCCAGCCUGUCCUCACCGUUCACUUUGUAAGUUAUCCGGAUACGCAUCGCAAGGGGUUUCUGUCCAUGUUGGUUAUUUGUGACACUGAGGCUUUGUGUAACAGAAUCAUUUCCACUGGCAGGAAGCGUGUUGCUGCUAGCGGGGUCCAAACGCAACUGGAUAAAC
rnacentral:sRNA from 1 species